rnacentral:rRNA from 1 species
UACGGAGGGUGCAAGUGUUAUCCGGAUUCACUGGGUUUAAAGGGUGCGUAGGUGGGUUGGUAAGUCAGUGGUGAAAUCUCCAGGCUUAACUUGGAAACUGCCAUUGAUACUAUCAAUCUUGAAUACCGUGGAGGUCAGCGGAAUAUGUCAUGUAGCGGUGAAAUGCUUAGAUAUGACAUAGAACACCAAUUGCGAAGGCAGCUGGCUACACGAAUAUUGACACUGAUGCACGAAAGCGUGGGGAUCAAACAGG